UGCCCUAGCGGCGAACGGGUGAGUAACACGUGGGCAACCUGCCCUCAGCUCUGGGAUAACUCCAAGAAAUUGGUGCUAAUACCGGAUGUGACCGCUGACCGCAUGGUCUGGUGGUGGAAAGAUUUAUCGGCUGAGGAUGGGCCCGCGGCCUAUCAGCUUGUUGGUGGGGUGAUGGCCUACCAAGGCGACGACGGGUAGCCGGCCUGAGAGGGUGACCGGCCACACUGGGACUGAGACACGGCCCAGACUCCUACGGGAGGCAGCAGUGGGGAAUAUUGCGCAAUGGGCGGAAGCCUGACGCAGCGACGCCGCGUGGGGGAUGACGGCCUUCGGGUUGUAAACCUCUUUCAGCAGGGACGAAGCGGAAGUGACGGUACCUGCAGAAGAAGCACCGGCCAACUACGUGCCAGCAGCCGCGGUAAUACGUAGGGUGCAAGCGUUGUCCGGAAUUAUUGGGCGUAAAGAGCUCGUAGGCGGUCUGUCACGUCGGCUGUGAAAACCCGAGGCUCAACCUCGGGCCUGCAGUCGAUACGGGCAAACUAGAGUGUUGCAGGGGAGACUGGAAUUCCUGGUGUAGCGGUGAAAUGCGCAGAUAUCAGGAGGAACACCGGUGGCGAAGGCGGGUCUCUGGGCAACAACUG
rnacentral:rRNA from 1 species